GUACUUGCUUUCACAGCACAUAGACUAGAAUUAGAUUGAUACAGAGAUUAGCAUGGCUCCUGCUCAAGGAUCACACGCAAAUUCACGAAGUCUUCCAUAUUUAA